CUUCUCCCAUGUGCUGAGGUGAAGUGGCUGCUCCUGCAGCACCUGGGGAGGAUCUGGCCUGAGACACCACUGCAGGGGGUUUUCCAUGGGUGCCCCGCGCUGCAGGAGACCCUGGGCUCACCGGGGACAGCGUGGAGGGGUCGCCAUGGCACAGGGAGGAGAUGGAGAGAGCCCGUCUGCGGUCAGAGCAGAGACUGGAGGUGCAGGAGCAGCUGCUUGCCCUGCGGCACUGGCUGGACGCCGUAGAGAAGCGGCUGCUGGCGCUGCCAGAGCCCGGCACGGCCCUGCAGGUAACGCGUGGCCCUGGCUUGUGACUGAGCCUGCAGAGCCGGGCAGGACCAGCCCACGUCUGCACCGAGGCUGGUGAGGGCUUGGUCCUCGGAAGGGAGGAAGGAAUCCGGCCACAGCUGUCUGGGAGACCCUUCAGCACAGCCCUGCAACCAUCGGGUGUCAGGUGUGCUGCCUGCGGCUGCUGCUGCCCAGCCCGACAGCGCUGCUGGCUCGGAGCCCCGCGGAGCUCGUGGUGUCCCUGCCUUGGAGCCUUGCUGACCACAGGGCCACACCCGCACCAGCUUCGGCCACAGCUCGUGAUGCUGCUGCCCGGGCACGGAGAGAGCGGCUGAACAACAGGGGUGUGCGGCUGUGCGAGGAGAGAGCGGCUGAACAACAGGGGUGUGCGGCUGUGCCAGGGGUGUGCGGCUGUGCCAGGGGUGUGCGGCUGAACAACAGGGGUGUGCGGCUGUGCCAGGGGUGUGCGGCUGAACAACAGGGGUGUGCGGCUGUGCCAGGGGUGUGCGGCUGAACAACAGGGAUGUGCGGCUGUGUGAUGGGUGUGAGGCUGUGUGAUGGGUGUGCAGCUGUGCCAGGGGUGUGCGGCUGUGCAAUGUGUGUGCGGCUGUGCGAGGAGAGAGCGGCUGAACAA
rnacentral:lncRNA from 1 species